GUUGUAUGGUUAAGUGACUAAGCGUACACGGUGGAUGCCUGGGCAGUCAGAGGCGAUGAAGGACGUACUAACUUGCGAUAAGCGCAGAUAAGGCAGUAAGAGCCGUUUGAGUCUGCGAUUUCCGAAUGGGGAAACCCAACUGCAUAAGCAGUUACUGUUAACUGAAUACAUAGGUUAACAGAGCAAACCGGGGGAACUGAAACAUCUAAGUACCCCGAGGAGAAGAAAUCAACCGAGAUUCCGGUAGUAGCGGCGAGCGAACCUGGAUUAGCCCUUAAGCACUCGGUGAAGUAGGUGAACAAGCUGGAAAGCUUGGCGAUACAGGGUGAUAGCCCCGUAACCGACGCUUCAUCGAGCGUGAAAUCGAGUAGGGCGGGACACGUGAUAUCCUGUCUGAAUAUGGGGGGACCAUCCUCCAAGGCUAAAUACUCCUGACUGACCGAUAGUGAACCAGUACCGUGAGGGAAAGGCGAAAAGAACCCCUGUGAGGGGAGUGAAAUAGAACCUGAAACCGUGUACGUACAAGCAGUAGGAGCACCUUCGUGGUGUGACUGCGUACCUUUUGUAUAAUGGGUCAGCGACUUAUAUUCAGUGGCAAGGUUAACCGUAUAGGGGAGCCGUAGCGAAAGCGAGUCUUAACUGGGCGCUCAGUCUCUGGAUAUAGACCCGAAACCGGGUGAUCUAGCCAUGGGCAGGUUGAAGGUUGAGUAACAUCAACUGGAGGACCGAACCGACUAAUGUUGAAAAAUUAGCGGAUGACUUGUGGCUAGGGGUGAAAGGCCAAUCAAACUCGGAGAUAGCUGGUUCUCCCCGAAAGCUAUUUAGGUAGCGCCUCGGACGAAUACUACUGGGGGUAGAGCACUGUUAAGGCUAGGGGGUCAUCCCGACUUACCAACCCUUUGCAAACUCCGAAUACCAGUAAGUACUAUCCGGGAGACACACGGCGGGUGCUAACGUCCGUCGUGGAGAGGGAAACAACCCAGACCGCCAGCUAAGGUCCCAAAGUAUUGCUAAGUGGGAAACGAUGUGGGAAGGCUCAGACAGCUAGGAUGUUGGCUUAGAAGCAGCCAUCAUUUAAAGAAAGCGUAAUAGCUCACUAGUCGAGUCGGCCUGCGCGGAAGAUGUAACGGGGCUAAGCAAUACACCGAAGCUGCGGCAAUAUCUUUUAGAUAUUGGGUAGGGGAGCGUUCUGUAAGCCGUUGAAGGUG
rnacentral:rRNA from 1 species